rnacentral:rRNA from 1 species
UGGGGAAUAUUGCACAAUGGGCGCAAGCCUGAUGCAGCCAUGCCGCGUGUAUGAAGAAGGCCUUCGGGUUGUAAAGUACUUUCAGUCGGGAGGAAGGUGGUAAGGUAAUAACCUUAUCAAUUGACGUUACCGACAGAAGAAGCACCGGCUAACUCCGUGCCAGCAGCCGCGGUAAUACGGAGGGUGCAAGCGUUAAUCGGAAUUACUGGGCGUAAAGCGCACGCAGGCGGUUGAUUGAGUCAGAUGUGAAAUCCCCGGGCUUAACCCGGGAAUUGCAUCUGAUACUGGUCAGCUAGAGUCUUGUAGAGGGGGGUAGAAUUCCAUGUGUAGCGAUGAAAUGCGUAGAGAUGUGGAGGAAUACCGGUGGCGAAGGCGGCCCCCUGGACAAAGACUGACGCUCAGGUGCGAAAGCGUGGGGAGCAAACAGG